rnacentral:rRNA from 1 species
GACGAACGCUGACGGCGUGCUUAACACAUGCAAGUCGAAGGGAGUGGCGAACGGGUGAGUAACAAGUGAGUAACCUGCCCUUUUCUUUGGGAUAAGCCUGGGAAACUGGGUCUAAUACUGGAAGGCUUGGGAUGGGCUCGCGGCUUAUCAGCUUGGUGGUGGGGUCAUGGCUUACCAAGGCUUUGACGGGUAGCCGGCCUGAGCGUGGGUUCUGGCACACUGGGACUGAGAUACGUCCCAGACUCCUACGGGAGGCAGAAGUGUGGGAUAUUGCACAAUGGAUGAAAGUCUGAUGCAGCGACGUCGUGUGGGGGAUGAAGGCCUUCGGGUUGUUAACUCCUUUCGCCCGCGGAAUGUUAGUGGGUAAAGAAGCGCCGGCUAACUCCGUGCCAGCAGCCGCGGUAAUAC